rnacentral:rRNA from 1 species
ACGGGUGAGUAACGCGUGAGAAUCUGCCCUCAGGAGGGGGAUAGCGGCUGGAAACGGCCGCUAAUACCCCAUAUGCCGAGAGGUGAAAUGAAUUUCGCCUGAGGAUGAGCUCGCGUCUGAUUAGCUAGUUGGUAAGGUAAGAGCUUACCAAGGCAUCGAUCAGUAGCUGGUCUGAGAGGAUGAUCAGCCACACUGGGACUGAGACACGGCCCAGACUCCUACGGGAGGCAGCAGUGGGGAGUUUUCCGCAAUGGGCGAAAGCCUGACGGAGCAACGCCGCGUGAGGAAUGAAGGCCUCUGGGCUGUAAACCUCUUUUCUCAAGGAAGAAGACAUGACGGUACUUGAGGAAUAAGCCACGGCUAAUUCCGUGCCAGCAGCCGCGGUAAUACGGGAGUGGCAAGCGUUAUCCGGAAUUAUUGGGCGUAAAGCGUCCGCAGGCGGCCUUUUAAGUCUGUUGUUAAAGCGUGGAGCUCAACUCCAUUUCGGCAAUGGAAACUGGAAGGCUGGAGUGUGGUAGGGGCAGAGGGAAUUCCCGGUGUAGCGGUGAAAUGCGUAGAUAUCGGGAAGAACACCAGUGGCGAAGGCGCUCUGCUGGGCCAUAACUGACGCUCAUGGACGAAAGCCAGGGGAGCGAAAGGGAUUAGAUACCCCUGUAGUCCUGGCCGUAAACGAUGAACACUAGGUGUCGGGGGAAUCGACCCCCUCGGUGUCGUAGCCAACGCGUUAAGUGUUCCGCCUGGGGAGUACGCACGCAAGUGUGAAACUCAAAGGAAUUGACGGGGGCCCGCACAAGCGGUGGAGUAUGUGGUUUAAUUCGAUGCAACGCGAAGAACCUUACCAGGGUUUGACAUCCUGCGAAUCCCUUGGAAACUAGGGAGUGCCUUCGGGAGCGCAGAGACAGGUGGUGCAUGGCUGUCGUCAGCUCGUGUCGUGAGAUGUUGGGUUAAGUCCCGCAACGAGCGCAACCCACGUCUUUAGUUGCCAGCAUUUAGUUGGGCACUCUAGAGAGACCGCCGGUGAUAAACCGGAGGAAGGUGUGGAUGACGUCAAGUCAUCAUGCCCCUUACAUCCUGGGCUACACACGUACUACAAUGCUACGGACAAAGGGCAGCAAACUCGCGAGAGCUAGCAAAUCCCAUAAACCGUGGCUCAGUUCAGAUCGUAGGCUGCAACUCGCCUACGUGAAGGAGGAAUCGCUAGUAAUCGCUGGUCAGCAUACUGCGGUGAAUACGUUCCCGGGCCUUGUACACACCGCCCGUCACACCAUGGAAGUUGGCCACGCCCGAAGCC